GGCCAGCAGCCGCGGUAAUACGGAGGGUGCAAGCGUUAUCCGGAUUUACUGGGUUUAAAGGGUGUGUAGGCGGGCUUUUAAGUCAGUGGUGAAAUCUCCGGGCUCAACCUGGAAACUGCCAUUGAUACUAUUAGUCUUGAAUUUUGUUGAGGUAGGCGGAAUAAGUCAUGUAGCGGUGAAAUGCUUAGAUAUGACUUAGAACACCAAUUGCGAAGGCAGCUUGCUAAACAAAUAUUGACGCUGAGGCACGAAAGCGUGGGGAUCAAACAGGAUUAGAUACCCUGGUAGUCCACGCCCUAAACGAUGAUUACUCGACAUACGCGAUACACAGUGUGUGUCUGAGCGAAAGCAUUAAGUAAUCCACCUGGGAAGUACGACCGCAAGGUUGAAACUCAAAGGAAUUGACGGGGGCCCGCACA
rnacentral:rRNA from 1 species